AGCGUACACGGUGGAUGCCCUGGCAGUCAGAGGCGAUGAAGGACGUGCUAAUCUGCGAAAAGCGCCGGCGAGGUGAUAUGAACCUUUGACCCGGCGAUGUCCGAAUGGGGAAACCCAGUGCAAUCCGUUGCACUAUCGUUAACUGAAUACAUAGGUUAACGAGGCGAACCGGGGGAACUGAAACAUCUAAGUACCCCGAGGAAAAGAAAUCAACCGAGAUUCCCCCAGUAGCGGCGAGCGAACGGGGAGCAGCCCGGAGUCUGAAUCAGCUUGUGUGUUAGUGGAACGGUCUGGAAAGUCCGACGGUACAGGGUGAUAGUCCCGUACACGAAAGCACACUUGCUGUGAACUCGAAGAGUAGGGCGGGACACGUGGUAUCCUGUCUGAAUAUGGGGGGACCAUCCUCCAAGGCUAAAUACUCCUGACUGACCGAUAGUGAACCAGUACCGUGAGGGAAAGGCGAAAAGAACCCCGGCGAGGGGAGUGAAAAAGAACCUGAAACCGUGUACGUACAAGCAGUGGGAGCCUCUUUAUGGGGUGACUGCGUACCUUUUGUAUAAUGGGUCAGCGACUUAUAUUCUGUAGCAAGGUUAACCGUAUAGGGGAGCCGAAGGGAAACCGAGUCUUAACUGGGCGUUAAGUUGCAGGGUAUAGACCCGAAACCCGGUGAUCUAGCCAUGGGCAGGUUGAAGGUUGGGUAACACUAACUGGAGGACCGAACCGACUAAUGUUGAAAAAUUAGCGGAUGACCUGUGGCUGGGGGUGAAAGGCCAAUCAAACCGGGAGAUAGCUGGUUCUCCCCGAAAGCUAUUUAGGUAGCGCCUCGUGAACUCAUCUUCGGGGGUAGAGCACUGUUUCGGCUAGGGGGCCAUCCCGGCUUACCAACCCGAUGCAAACUACGAAUACCGAAGAAUGUUAUCACGGGAGACACACGGCGGGUGCUAACGUCCGUCGUGAAGAGGGAAACAACCCAGACCGCCAGCUAAGGUCCCAAAGUCAUGGUUAAGUGGGAAACGAUGUGGGAAGGCACAGACAGCCAGGAUGUUGGCUUAGAAGCAGCCAUCAUUUAAAGAAAGCGUAAUAGCUCACUGGUCGAGUCGGCCUGCGCGGAAGAUGUAACGGGGCUAAACCAUGCACCGAAGCUGCGGCAGCGACACUAUGUGUUGUUGGGUAGGGGAGCGUUCUGUAAGCCGUUGAAGGUGUGCUGUGAGGCAUGCUGGAGGUAUCAGAAGUGCGAAUGCUGACAUAAGUAACGAUAAAGCGGGUGAAAAGCCCGCUCGCCGGAAGACCAAGGGUUCCUGUCCAACGUUAAUCGGGGCAGGGUGAGUCGACCCCUAAGGCGAGGCCGAAAGGCGUAGUCGAUGGGAAACAGGUUAAUAUUCCUGUACUUGGUGUUACUGCGAAGGGGGGACGGAGAAGGCUAUGUCAGCCGGGCGACGGUUGUCCCGGUUUAAGCAUGUAGGCGGAGGUUCCAGGUAAAUCCGGUACCUUUUAACGCUGAGGUGUGAUGACGAGGCACUACGGUGCUGAAGUGAUAAAUGCCCUGCUUCCAGGAAAAGCCUCUAAGCAUCAGGUAACACGAAAUCGUACCCCAAACCGACACAGGUGGUCAGGUAGAGAAUACCAAGGCGCUUGAGAGAACUCGGGUGAAGGAACUAGGCAAAAUGGUGCCGUAACUUCGGGAGAAGGCACGCUGAUGUGUAGGUGAAGCCCCUGCGGGUGGAGCUGAAAUCAGUCGAAGAUACCAGCUGGCUGCAACUGUUUAUUAAAAACACAGCACUGUGCAAACACGAAAGUGGACGUAUACGGUGUGACGCCUGCCCGGUGCCGGAAGGUUAAUUGAUGGGGUUAGCGGCAACGCGAAGCUCUUGAUCGAAGCCCCGGUAAACGGCGGCCGUAACUAUAACGGUCCUAAGGUAGCGAAAUUCCUUGUCGGGUAAGUUCCGACCUGCACGAAUGGCGUAAUGAUGGCCAGGCUGUCUCCACCCGAGACUCAGUGAAAUUGAACUCGCUGUGAAGAUGCAGUGUACCCGCGGCAAGACGGAAAGACCCCGUGAACCUUUACUAUAGCUUGACACUGAACACUGGUCCUUGAUGUGUAGGAUAGGUGGGAGGCUUUGAAGCGUGGACGCCAGUCUGCGUGGAGCCAACCUUGAAAUACCACCCUUUAAUGGCUGGUGUUCUAACGUAGACCCGUAAUCCGGGUUGCGGACAGUGUCUGGUGGGUAGUUUGACUGGGGCGGUCUCCUCCCAAAGAGUAACGGAGGAGCACGAAGGUUGGCUAAUCCUGGUCGGACAUCAGGAGGUUAGUGCAAUGGCAUAAGCCAGCUUGACUGCGAGCGUGACGGCGCGAGCAGGUGCGAAAGCAGGUCAUAGUGAUCCGGUGGUUCUGAAUGGAAGGGCCAUCGCUCAACGGAUAAAAGGUACUCCGGGGAUAACAGGCUGAUACCGCCCAAGAGUUCAUAUCGACGGCGGUGUUUGGCACCUCGAUGUCGGCUCAUCACAUCCUGGGGCUGAAGUAGGUCCCAAGGGUAUGGCUGUUCGCCAUUUAAAGUGGUACGCGAGCUGGGUUUAGAACGUCGUGAGACAGUUCGGUCCCUAUCUGCCGUGGGCGCUGGAGAAUUGAGGGGGGCUGCUCCUAGUACGAGAGGACCGGAGUGGACGCAUCACUGGUGUUCGGGUUGUCAUGCCAAUGGCACUGCCCGGUAGCUAAAUGCGGAAGAGAUAAGUGCUGAAAGCAUCUAAGCACGAAACUUGCCCCGAGAUGAGUUCU
rnacentral:rRNA from 1 species